CCUACGGGUGGCAGCAGUGGGGAAUAUUGGACAAUGGGGGCAACCCUGAUCCAGCCAUGCCGCGUGUGUGAAGAAGGCCCUCGGGGUGUAAAGCACUUUCAGUGAGGAAGAACGCCUGGUGGUUAAUACCCAUCAGGAAAGACAUCACUCACAGAAGAAGCACCGGCUAACUCCGUGCCAGCAGCCGCGGUAAUACGGAGGGUGCGAGCGUUAAUCGGAAUUACUGGGCGUAAAGCGCGCGUAGGUGGCUUGAUAAGCCGGUUGUGAAAGCCCCGGGCUCAACCUGGGAACGGCAUCCGGAACUGUCAAGCUAGAGUGCAGGAGAGGAAGGUAGAAUUCCCGGUGUAGCGGUGAAAUGCGUAGAGAUCGGGAGGAAUACCAGUGGCGAAGGCGGCCUUCUGGACUGACACUGACACUGAGGUGCGAAAGCGUGGGUAGCAAACAGGAUUAGAUACCCGGGUAGUC
rnacentral:rRNA from 1 species